rnacentral:tRNA from 1 species
UGGGAUGUCGCCAAGUGGUAAGGCACCUGGUUUUGGUCCAGGCAUUUCGGAGGUUCGAGUCCUUCCAUCCCAGCCA